GACGAACGCUGGCGGCGUGCUUAACACAUGCAAGUCGAACGGAAAGGCCCUGCUUGCAGGGUGCUCGAGUGGCGAACGGGUGAGUAACACGUGGGUGAUCUGCCCCUUACUUUGGGAUAAGCCUGGGAAACUGGGUCUAAUACUGGAUAGGACCAUGCUGUAGGUGGUGUGGUGGAAAGAUUAGUUUCGGUAAGGGAUGAGCUCGCGGCCUAUCAGCUUGUUGGUGGGGUAAUGGCCUACCAAGGCGUCGACGGGUAGCCGGCCUGAGAGGGUGGACGGCCACAUUGGGACUGAGAUACGGCCCAGACUCCUACGGGAGGCAGCAGAGGGGAAUAUUGCACAAUGGGCGAAAGCCUGAUGCAGCGACGCCGCGUGGGGGAUGACGGCCUUCGGGUUGUAAACUCCUUUCAGCCAUGACGAAGCCCUUGUGGUGACGGUAGUGGUAGAAGAAGCACCGGCUAACUACGUG
rnacentral:rRNA from 1 species